rnacentral:rRNA from 1 species
UAGAGUUUGAUCCUGGCUCAGGAUGAACGCUAGCUACAGGCUUAACACAUGCAAGUCGAGGGGAAACGGCAUUGAGUGCUUGCACUCUUUGGACGUCGACCGGCGCACGGGUGAGUAACGCGUAUCCAACCUUCCCAUUACUGUGGGAUAACCUGCCGAAAGGCAGACUAAUACCGCAUAGUCUUCGAUGACGGCAUCAGAUUUGAAGUAAAGAUUUAUCGGUAAUGGAUGGGGAUGCGUCUGAUUAGCUUGUUGGCGGGGUAACGGCCCACCAAGGCGACGAUCAGUAGGGGUUCUGAGAGGAAGGUCCCCCACAUUGGAACUGAGACACGGUCCAAACUCCUACGGGAGGCAGCAGUGAGGAAUAUUGGUCAAUGGACGGAAGUCUGAACCAGCCAAGUAGCGUGCAGGAAGACGGCCCUAUGGGUUGUAAACUGCUUUUGUAUGGGGAUAAAGUUAGGGACGUGUCCCUGUUUGCAGGUACCAUACGAAUAAGGACCGGCUAAUUCCGUGCCAGCAGCCGCGGUAAUACGGAAGGUCCAGGCGUUAUCCGGAUUUAUUGGGUUUAAAGGGAGCGUAGGCUGGAGAUUAAGUGUGUUGUGAAAUGUAGACGCUCAACGUCUGAAUUGCAGCGCAUACUGGUUUCCUUGAGUACGCACAACGUUGGCGGAAUUCGUCGUGUAGCGGUGAAAUGCUUAGAUAUGACGAAGAACUCCGAUUGCGAAGGCAGCUGGCGGGAGCGCAACUGACGCUUAAGCUCGAAGGUGCGGGUAUCAAACAGGAUUAGAUACCCUGGUAGUCCGCACAGU